rnacentral:tRNA from 1 species
AGGGCUGAACCACGUGUUGCUAACACGUCAC